rnacentral:rRNA from 1 species
GAUGAACGCUGGCGGCGUGCCUAAUACAUGCAAGUCGAGCGAACAGAUGAGGAGCUUGCUCCUCUGACGUUAGCGGCGGACGGGUGAGUAACACGUGGAUAACCUACCUAUAAGACUGGGAUAACUUCGGGAAACCGGAGCUAAUACCGGAUAAUAUAUUGAACCGCAUGGUUCAAUAGUGAAAGACGGUUUUGCUGUCACUUAUAGAUGGAUCCGCGCCGCAUUAGCUAGUUGGUAAGGUAACGGCUUACCAAGGCAACGAUGCGUAGCCGACCUGAGAGGGUGAUCGGCCACACUGGAACUGAGACACGGUCCAGACUCCUACGGGAGGCAGCAGUAGGGAAUCUUCCGCAAUGGGCGAAAGCUUGACGGAGCAACGCCGCGUGAGUGAUGAAGGUCUUCGGAUCGUAAAACUCUGUUAUUAGGGAAGAACAAAUGUGUAAGUAACAAUGCACGUCUUGACGGUACCUAAUCAGAAAGCCACGGCUAACUACGUG